AGACUGGAGCUUGGAGCGGUGAGCUGGACUCGGGCUUGCGCUCCGAUCUCUGAGCUGG
rnacentral:pre_miRNA from 1 species